rnacentral:rRNA from 1 species
CAAUAGCGUAUAUUAAAGUUGUUGCAGUUAAAAAGCUCGUAGUUGGAUUUCUGGCAGGGUGAGCCAAACCUCAAUAUGAGUGUGCAGGCCCGCCCUACCAUCCUUCUGUUAACUUCUAAGGCCUUCACGGUCUUUCUAGGGCUCAGAUAUUUUACCUUGAGAAAAUUAGAGUGUUUCAGGCAGGCUAGCGCCGGAAUACAUUAGCAUGGAAUAAUGGAAUAGGACUUUUGCCUCUUCUGUUGGUCUGAGGGGUUCGAGUAAUGAUUAAUAGGGAUAGUUGGGGGCAUUAGUACUUAACUGUCAGAGGUGAAAUUCUCGGAUUUGUUAAAGACUAACUUAUGCGAAAGCAUUUGCCAAGGAUGUUUUCAUUAAUCAAGAACGAAAGUUAGGGGAUCAAAGAUGAUUAGAUACCAU